CGGAGAAUCACAAUAGAAGCUGCUGAUGGCCUACAAAAAGCUCAGAAAGUGGCUGAGUGUAUGAAUCAUUCUGCCAAACUUUUUGAACAACAGACAUCUGAUGCAGCACUUAGUGCUUUAGACAUAAUUGCAGAGGCCUUGUCAAUUAGCCCAUAUUCAGAAAGAUUACUGGAAAUGAAAGCAGAGUCCAUGUUUAUGUUACGGAAGUAUGAAGAGGUGAUUCAGCUGUGUGAGCAGACUCUUUGUGCUGCUGAAAAGAAUUUCAUUUCAUCAGGUACCAAUGACCAGUUUGUAGAUAAAGACGAUUCUCGAACUGAUAGCCACUCAUUUGUGAGGUCUUGGAGGUGGUGCUUAAUAUCAAAGUCCUACUUUUAUUUGGGAAGGCUUGAAGCGGCUCUUGAUUUACUCGAGAAAUCAGAGCAAAUGGGAUCUAUAAGUGACAAGUACGCAAGCAAGAUACCAGAAGCAUCACUUUCAUUAGCAGUCAC
rnacentral:misc_RNA from 1 species